UGGCAGGAGUCGCUUGACUGGAUGUGUUGUGUAUGACUGUGCAAAACACACUCACACACAUACACACACAUUCACCAUCAGUGGAAAGUAAAAGGAGACGCUGCUCUGGAUCAUUCUGUUCGGGAAAGUAGUACAGCAAGGUUCUCUUGCUCAGGAUUUUACUGAAUUCUCAGGAGUUGUUGAGAAAGUCUGGAAGGGUGGUCUAUGAAGUCAGGAGAUUUCAGCAUGACACCAGUGUCAACACAGUGUUCCUCUAGGAAACGAAAGCAUUCAGCACACAGGUGUACUGGCAUUUGAGUAAGUAGCUCUCCAGCAUUUACAACUACUGGAUAAAUAGAACAUUUAGAAUGAAAUUGAAAUCGAUUUUUGUACUAUGCACUUUUAUCCGAAGCAACUUCCAUUUAUCAAUAUUGUGUUUCAGGGAAAUCAAAUCUUUGAUCUUAGUGCUUUUAGUGCCAUGCUCUAGCUGAAAAUGCUAGAAUGUUUGGAUGUUUGUAAUGCUUUUAAUAUUAAUAACUUGUCUGAACGACCAAACUUAUUAAACAUUAUUUUAACAUUGAAGUCAUUUUAUUGUAUGGGGCAUUCAGCUUGGUUAACCCUAACAUUGUAAAAUGUUAGUCUAAUUUAAGAAGUAUGAAUGGCGUACAUUCCCAUAGCCUAAACACUUUCUAGCACUGUACAGUUUUAAAAUGCAAUUUCCCGACUUGGAAUGAUUCCACCAAGACUGCUGAAUCAUGUCUCUGUUGCUCUAUUUGUUCCCUUUUGUCUUGUCAUGUAAACAACUGAAUUUUAUUAAUUAUAUCUGUUUCUUGUUUUUUUUUUUUUUUUGUCUGUAUUGUUCACCCACACUUUGGCUGUUGGCUAAUUUAGCUGAAGAAAUGCGUGUGGCUGCGAUGCACCUUGACCUAUUACAUCCAACUGCCCACCUGUUAAUCUUUAUCACCUUUACUACCAUCUUUAUCACCCACCCACAUAUAUUUCAUUUGCGUGUACAUCAGAAUAGAUUGUUCUGCAACUAUUCCUGUUGAAAGACUAGCAUUGCUGGUCCCCAGCAUGGGAUGCUGGUGUCCCCACCAGGCUUCUUAAAAGGAUAGUUCAGCCAAAAAUGAAAAUUCUCUCAUCGUUUAUGCACCCUCGUGCCACCCCAGACGUGUAUGACUUACUUUCUUCUCCUGAGCACAAACAAAGAUGUUUAGAAGGAUGUCUCAGCUCUGUAGGUCCAUACAGGUCAAUAGGGAACAACAUUUUAAAGCAAAAAAAUUUUAUAAAUCAGCAGCAUAAAAGUACUCUUUAAAGGGAUAGUUCACCUAAAUAUGACAAUUGUAUCAUCAUUUACUCACCUUCAUGUUGUUCCAAAACCUUAUGGCUUUCCUACUUCUGUGGAACACAAAAGUAGAACUAAGGCAGAAUUUUAGCCUCAGUCACCAUUCUCAAAACACCAUUUUUCCAUAUAAUGAAAAUAAAUCGAAAAUAAAACUCAGACUGAAUAUUCUGCCAGACAUCUCAUUUUGUGUUCCAAGGAAGGAAGUAGGAAUGUCUUAGAGGUUUGAAUCAACAUGAGGGUGAGCAAAUGAGUUCAGAAUUUUCAUUUUUGGAUGAAUUAUAACCUAAAUAUUCCCUUACUUAGCUUAACCAGCUGUUGUUUAUGUCAGUUAAUCUGGUCCUUCAACAGGUAUACAUCAACAUACAGUGCUCAGUUUAUUGUCAAACUCUGUGAGUGUGUCUGCACAGUUGAAAUUGUGUGUGUGUCGCGCACGUGUGUGCAUGCGUUUGCAUAUUUCCAUACAGUAGGUUUGUGUAAGUUUGCAUUCUUGAAGGCCUUAUUCUGUCCUCUGGUGCUGAUUGAUAGAAGGUGGAUUUGUAAAGUUCAUUAGCACCACGUUAUCUCAUCCUUUAACGUUACUAUGCUUCCUAAUCAGCACCAGCUCUAAUGAGGCUCGCACUGACGCAGACAGGUGAUGUCACAGCCCCUGAAAUAUUCUAGGUCAGGGCCUUGAUUAAUAAAUAAUAGUUUUAAUCUUGCAAGAUCUGGAUGAAUAUGUUGCAGGUCAGUGAUUUUCCACUGUACAUGGAAGAUAUAUGUCAGCUUAAAGGGAUAGUUCACUCAAAAAUGAAGAUUCUGUCAUCAUUUACUUACCCUCAUGUUGUUUCAACCCCGUUUUAACACAAAAGGAGAUGUUAGGCCUCAGUCGCCAUUCACUUUCAUUACAUUUUUUCCCCUAUAAAACAAAUGUGAAUAGUUAUUCAGGGCUAACAUUUAGCCUAACAUCUCCUUUUUGUUUUCAAAAGAAGAAAGUCAUAGGGGUUUGGAACAUCAUAUGGGUGAGUAAAUGAUGACAGAAUUUUCAUUAUUGGGUGAACUAUCCCUUUAAUACGAGUUGAAAGUUAGGGUCAAGUGUGUGUGUGUGUGUGUGUGUGUGUGUGUGUGUGUGUGUGUGUGUGUGUGUGUGUGUGUGUGUGUGUGUGUGUGUGCACAGUUGAAUGGAAGAGGGUUGCCCGGGAUAAGGGGUGAAGCAGACUUCCUCUCCUCCCCGGUCUCCACGGUAACAGGUCUGGCCGCCACACAUACAGUUACUCAGUGUUUGCGUGUCAAUGGAGUGUGUGACCGGGUCGACAUUUAAGCACUGGGAUGUUUCUCAGCAUUCAAAGCUGAAUGACUUUCAGGAAUAAAAGGAUGAAUUUCUCAUAUGACAAUUUAUUGCUAAGAGGUUGCUCUUCCAUAGCUCGGGAGACUCAGUUGUUACAAUUAAGUAUCAACUUAAUCUCAGUUCUUCGGGAGAAGACAAACAGACACAAAUUAGACAUGCGUUGACAUGCAGUAAGAGAGAAGAGCAAUAAAACUAACAAGGAAUGCAUCCCUGUUAAAACAAAACAAAAAAAAUAAAAAAACUUUUCAACUGGUCAGGCACCUUCAAGUAAAGCUGACACAAUGAACUCUUGGAUUUUGCAUGGUGUUUGUGCAGGUGUAUAUGUUAGUAUGAAAAGUGUACCACUACCAUUGAGAGGACUCUCACUAGGAGCACCAGGUUUCUGAUUUUCUUUCUCAAGAAUGUGUGCUUCCUUUUUCAUUUGUGUGUUUGUGAUUGGGAGGGCUGACAUUGACAAUGUUAAUAAAACCUUCAGUUUUAGAGCGUGAUCUUCAUGUGCAUACUCUUUACCUCUUUUCCAGUGGUGCUGUAUUGGUGGCCCCGGGACAGGUGUGGUUGUAGGUUUGAGGGAUACCUGUACAUCAUUAAAUGCAGCUCUGCAGUGCAGGAAGAGCAGUCAAAGUGGCCUUCACUGUGAACGAGCACUGUCUAGGGUACACUAUCAAAAUUAAGAAUUACAGAAAUGUCUGGCACCUGGUUGUCUAAUUGGAUCUGUUUCAGGAAAACUUCCUUAAAAGGAUAAUCUACCGAAAAGAAAAGAAAAAAAAAACCAUAUAUAUGUCAUUAAUUACUCACCUUCAUGAUGUUCCAAAUCAGUAUCAAUUUUUUCUGUAGAACACAAAAGGGGCAUUUUUGAAAGUGAGAAAAUACAAACCCUUUAAAUAUUUAAAAGAAUAGUUCACCCAAAAAUGAAAAUUCUCUCAUUAACUGUACUCAUCCACAUGUCAUCCCAGAUGUGUAUGACCUUCUUUCUUCUGCUGAACACAAGCAAACAUUUUUAGAAGAAUAUCUCAGCUUUGUAGAUCCAUGCAAUGCAAUCAAUAGGCCCCAUACCUGUGUGCUCUAAAAGCACAAAAAGGCAGCAUAAUAGUAAUCCAAAAAUAUAUAUCUGUCAAUGUCUAUGGUAUUUUUCAGAUUUUUGAUCUUCCAUCGUGUAACAACCGUGACUACAAUCAGUUUGAAAAGAUAUAGCAACCUGAGUCAGAACAGGCUGAAGGACUGUGCCAAAUUUGCUCAAGCCAACAUAAAUAGCUUAAAGGAGCUUUAAUAAGUUUAGCAGGCAGCUAAUGUGGUGCUAUUUUCAUUGUUGUAUGCUCUAAUUCAUUGAUGCGUUCCAUCUAAUUGAACUGACAAAUCAAACUCAUUAUACUUGCCAAAGCUAGGCCUAAAGAGUUAAUAGAUAACGUUAACUGUCACUCCAUGUGAAAAUCAAGGCUGCAUUUUUCUCCUUAUACAACAGUCAGUGCUUGGCGACCAUUAAAUCAGACACCUGCUCACAGAACUAUCUCUUCUCUCCUGCCUGUACAUGGUGCGAUUCUGUACCAAGGUACAAGCAGCAGACAAUAAGGUGUGUAAUAACACACGGUAAGCCGGAUCUGCAUAGGCUUUUCAGCAUUCAGCGCAGACCUUACACAAGCUGGUAAAAGAAGGUAAGAAUGAUAGCAGUGUACUGCAUUCUGCUGCAGGCCAUGAUUGUUCAUAGUAAGAAAUUACAGGAGCAUUUUGUGCAAAAUUGACUCAGAAAACAUCCCUUUAGGAAAAACAUUCUGAGACAUAUUUGAUAAAUAUAGCCAUAGCCAAAAAUUAACAUUCAUGUCACCCUCACGUUACUUAGGUCUGAUUUUCUUCCAUGGAACACAAAAUGAGCGUUUAGAUUGCUCAUUUCCAUAAAAUGAAAGUAAAUGUGGACGUUGCUGUCAAGCUACUAAAAUGACAAAAAAACGCUUAAAAGUCUAUACAACUAAUGCACAUAAAAGUCUUUCAA